UACAGAGGUGGCAAGCGUUGUUCGGAAUUACUGGGCGUAAAGGGCGCGUAGGCGGCCUUCUAAGUCAGACGUGAAAUCCCCGGGCUCAACCCGGGAACUGCGUCCGAUACUGGGGGGCUUGAAUCCGGGAGAGGGAUGUGGAAUUCCAGGUGUAGCGGUGGAAAUGCGCAGAUAUCAGGAAGAACACCAAUGGCGAAAGCAGCUCUCUGGGACGGUACUGACGCUGAGACGCGAAAGCGUGGGGAGCGAACAGG
rnacentral:rRNA from 1 species